ensembl:lncRNA
GCUUCAUUUUGAUGAAUCACCAUUAGUGUAAAAGGUACAUUUCUUAAAGUCCACAUCUUUUAAAAUCCAUCUGUGGUUUUUUUGCAGGUGUCUCAAGCUUAUUUCAACCAGCACUCUGCCUUCCCUCUGGAUCUCCUCAAGAGUGACUCGACUCCAACUUUAGUAACAGACAGCAACGGUAACCACUUCCUCAUUGCCCUGACCAGUCACAUCAAUGGAAACCAGAACGUCGAGACUUCUGAGGGGAAAGCAGCAAAUCACAUUACACUGCAGACACAUAACGGAGGACUCCAGGUUCCUGCAGACCAACCGCAGCAGGGAGCAGCUCAGUGUUUGUCAGCACCGCCCACUCUGCCAUCUUUUCUCAAGGACCAGGACGCUGCUCCCUCAGGGAAAAACACCUCGCCGCCUUCCUCUCAAGCUGAUGUGUGUCACAGUUUCGAUGCCCUGUUCAGUCCUUUGUCUCCAGCGUCUAUUCAGACAGCAACCUCCUCAUCUGACGACAAACAGGAUACAGAGCACGAAGAAGAUUUUAUCGAUGCCAUUAUGCAGACAGGAGGUAAAAUUCAGCGCAGUUGUUUUUUUCAAUUUCUUCUACAAACUUCCUUUACUUUACAGUAUAGAACUCCUUUAUUUUUUCACUUUCAGACACAUCCACCAAACUGACACAAGACUCAUCUCUGCACUGUCUGUACGCCAACUCCCCAGCUCCAACUCCCAUUCCUUCACCGCUCCACCAGUUGCUGUCUCCCCCAUUCCCUCAGCCGGAUCGCUCGGAGCAGCCCGAGCCUCCGGCUCCGGAUUUUCUCAGAGAAGAGAGACAACACCCCAGUCGCGCAGCAAGUGGUCGCUUAGAGGAUUUCCUGGAAAGCACCACUGGAAAGCCUCUCCUCGGGGUGGAGCCCGGGGGCCUGUUGACUGUGAUUGACGACCUCAACAGCCAGAUGCUGUGCACCCCGAGCAUCCUGGACCACCUCCCGUCUCCCAUGGACACCUUCGACAUGGUGGCUGAGGAUGAACAGGGGCUGGACAACAUGGACUGGCUGGACUUCACCAUGGAGAAAGAAAAAGAGCAGGAAAUACCCGCACUGGCCCCGCUGGGCCCCCAAACGCCCCCUAGUGUCUUUUCCACAGACUUCCUGGAUAGCUAUGACCUAUACAUACACUGGGACUCCUGUUUAUAGCAGGAACACAUCGACCAUCAAACACACACACAUACACACGCAGCCAGUGGUCUGCCGAGGUUUCACUGCUUCAUUAUAGCACUGUUCACAUCAAACAGCCUGAGUGAUGUGUUUGCAAGUUUUUCCUCAAAUACGACUGCACUAAAGACACGCUGAGGACACCCCCGAUCACAUUUGGCGAUGGCGUGCCCACAUGCGGCUACAACACUCCAGAAGUGCAUGCAUAAGUGUUUCCUAAGUCACACUCCAGGACUGCCUGCCCAACGGGCAUACCGUGUCCAAGCAACACAAGUAAAAAUAGGAUGAUAAUCUUCUACGUUUUUGCUGAGCACAGUUGAACUGUCCAAACUGAGCACAAGCUGAACCGUGAGACGGCAGGAAGUCAGUGGUUUGUUCAGUAAUUAUCUGAUUUAGCAAAUAUUCUGAGCUUAAAUGAAAGUGAUUGGUUUCUGGCUGAGCAUCGUCCAGUGAACUCAUGUUCAGAGACAUUGUUUUGCUGAACAUCCAUCCAUAUUAUUUAAUAGGACAUAGCAUUCAAUAGAACAGACUAUAAACUUCAGACUUUGAGUAAUAAGAUAUUUUGGUCUGUGCCCCUUCAAGAGCGCACCUUCACCAGCAGAUCUUUGGAUUGCAGGAAACAUCUGGUUUAAAGCUCCAAGAAACGCCAGCCUGAGUCCUCACAAAAAACCCCUAAUUGAACUGAUGUUGCAUUCAAAUGCAGCUUGUCUGACCAAGGACGCUUCACUUUCUUAAAGGCCUGCUGCUGUAUUAGUUUACAUGUUUAUCCUCACAAUGUAUUUGUUUGUUUACCUGCCUGUGAAAGGGUGAGAUGAGAUUUGAAAAAGGGUCGGUUAAGAAGCAUUCAAAUGCUGCGUGUUGCACAGAAGGUCCCGUCUGUAUCGACUCACACAUCAGCUUAUUGAAUCUUCAAGCACUUUGACCUUUAUUUAUUUUACUUACACACUGCCUCAUUGAUUUUUCAGGCACUUAUUAGGCCGGCCUGCUAUGAGUUCUUUAGCAACGCUUGUGUUAACACAUAAAAUGGACUUUUAAGUGGGACUCUGUCUUACUUUUCUUUGUAGUUGGCUCAUCUGACCUUUUUCUAAUUAGAAAGUAAAGUUGUUUUUAGCUGCCUUUUGUGGAAAAGGUAAUCAAUACUCGACAUUUACUCUGAAAGGAUAGACGUACUUGAAGAAGUUAUGUAAAGACAACAAACCGUUCAUCGGAUUGAGUUUAUAUGCUAACACAAGUCUGGAAUGUAACAGGUAGCGAAGAAGGGUUAUAUGUCAAGAGUCUCUGUAUUUUUGUUAUGACAGCUUUGUCAUACAGUUUAAAAAUUAUGAAGGGAAAAAGCACCAUUGGGGUGUCUUGUUUUUUUAUUUUUUAUUUUUUUGCAGCCUUAAUCUUGCAGGAUAAAGACAUCACAAAAAAAGAUUGUCAUCACCUUAAGUGAUGUCUAAAAACCAAUUGCACAAACCCCUGAGGCAUUGCUUAAUUAAAGCUUUUACCCCAAAAAGAAGAAACAUCUAAAACUGAAAAAAAAAAGUGAGAAGCAAUAAAUUGACAGACUUAAAUAUGAAUGCAGAGAGCCUGUUUUAUUCUCAGACCACCCAGCUUUAAUUAUAUUUUAAUGUGUGAAAGGAAAUUAAUUAAUGUGUGAUUAAUUAAGAUUAAAACUAGCUGACAGGAUAAAAACUACUAAUGGGAGUUCAGAAAAAUAAAACCCCUUAUGAUUUUAUUCACAAAUGCUGAAUGCAGUGAUUGACUCGUUUUUUUUUUAAGGAGUCCAUGUGAGCACUGAGAUGUGACAUGUUGAUACUGCGAACAAAUAAAGAAAACUUGAACAUACUUUUUUUUGGCACAGCUUUAAAGAGACGAUUAAAUUGUUACUUUGUGGAUUUUCAACUGUUAGAUGUUUGAGUCAUUGUUAAUUAAAAAAACAAUGGAUUUUGUAAAUUUUACCAACAUAUUUAGAUUUUUAGUUUGUUUCCUGUGUGAAAACUUCUGAAUGUGAAUUUUUUUAGAGUUAUUCUACACUGAACAAAACUAUAAAUGCUACUCUGUUGUUCUUACUCCAUUUUUUUUAAAUGAGCUGAAGUCAAAGCCUAUUUUCAGAAGAGACCCAUUUCUCCCACGAAUUAUUUACACAUGUGCCUAAAUCUGAUAGCCAAUUGCACACGUCCUCAAGACUUGCAACAUCAGUGUCAUUGUGCUUUUUGAUGCUUUUUGAUGACACUGGGGUUUUAACAGUGUGCUUUUAUUUUGGCGAGCCUGUGUAAUAAUCCUGCAGUCGACCUGUGAGGUGGAUGGAUCAUCUCAGCAAAGGAAGAACUCACUGACAGACUUCUGAACCAAUAUUUGAGAGAAAAAGACCUUUUGUGUACAAAAUGACUCAAGUCUUUGAUUUUAGCUCAUGAAAAAUGGGAGCAAAAACAAAACUGUUGCAUUUUUGUUUUAGCUUAGUGUAUAAUGAUUUGCACAACAUGACUGAAAUGCUCAGGAUGCUUCAUGCUUAUACAUGAAAUGCUUUAGAUGCUCAUUAUGAGAAAACACAUUGUUGAGAUGAUGUUGUUAGUUGUAAAUAUUUUGCUGAUACUUUUAUGCUAUUGUGUACUGCAUCAGUACUUUUGGUAGAUAAAAAAAAAAACUUUUUUCGUCUUUAAGAUUUUACUGAAGCUGGAUGUAAGAUAAAUCUCCAGAUAAGGACAAUAUAUUAUAAGUCACUCUUAUUUUUAUUUUUUUCCUGCGUGUCACUCCUCUACUGUAAAAACUCUGGUGAAAAGAGAAAAUAGCUACAUUAAAAUAGUUUGCAUUGGCUGAAUUGAUUGUCACAUGUUAUCUAUUUGCAGGUUUCCCCUCAUGCGAUAUCAUCUUAAUGGUGCAGUUACAUCUUUAAUCCUCUGGUUUGUUUGCAUGUUCACCCAGUGAGACAGUGAUGCUGGAUUUAGUGUUUACACGGUGCUUCACCCUCGAUUUUGUGACUCUGCCUGUACACACUCGGUGCUUAAAGGAAUCUGACAACAAAUUAAAAAUGAUUGUAGCUGAUAACAGUCAUCGUACAAUGAAUCCAGGCUGUAAACUCAGAUAUAAUCAUGUUUUUGAGUUACACACCUCUCAUUUGUGCUCUGGAUUCUGUACAGUUUAAAUGCCAGAUGCGAUACACAGAUAUAGACCCCUUAAACUUUGUCAAACUAAU